GCCCGGGUGGCUCAGUCGGUUGAGCGUCCGACUUCGGCUCAGGUCACGAUCUCACAGUUUGUGAGUUCGAGCCCCGCGUCGGGCU
rnacentral:tRNA from 1 species